CUCUUGGAACAAUUACCCCUCAGAGAGAACUGCAAACUGGAAAAAAGAAUCCAACAAGGGACAGUGCAGACUGAGGUGGAAGAGGCAGAAAUUCCUUUCUGGAGAGAAAAAGAGCCAACUUGUAGCCAUGAUGCUUCACAGCUGGCCGGGAGCAACCUUAAGGUCACCAACCUAGGGAGGGGCGGUGCUGACAGCACAGCUCACCCAGGAAAGUUUCUGAAGAGGGACCUCCACCCAAAGGACUUCCCAUAGGAUGUCUGUGCCCAGAAAUAUCCUGGGGGAGACGCACAAGGGUUUCGUGCAAGAUAGUUCCAGAGAAUUAUUGUAUUACUCUGAUGCUUUUACAAAAGUGCCCCUGGAAAAGUGCUUCAUCUUCAAGGAGAGUCAAGAAAAGGACUUUUUUUUUUUUUUUUUUUUUUUUUUUACAAGUGGAUAUACAAGCACUGUUGAAGGCUUACCAAACAAAAAUAAAAUUCAAAAGAAACUACACCAGGUCCUCCUCACCACCCAGAUGACAGCCACACUUCAGGGGCUUGAACCUUGGACACACCCCUCCCAGCUGAAGACGCUCCUCCUGACAUCUGGUUCUGUGCAGACGCUGGGGACCUCCACAUCAGACUGACAAGGGAGAGAAGUAGCUGACAUGGAGGUAGACGGCUUCCUCCCCAGAUGCCAGAUCAACACUUUCUACUUUAGCUAAACCUAAACUCUUCUUUCCUUUCUGUCCCUUAGUCUGGCACUGACCUGGAAGGAUAAUGCCAUCAUCUGGAUCCCCCCAGCUAUUGCUAAGAAGGGUAACCUCUGAAAAUUAGACCGACUUUUUAUUCCCAAGCUAGGAGAAAAUCUAACUGACGCCUGGCUUGAAUGGGCAAAUGCAACAAUCCCUGUGAGUGAAUCCAUGAACAAGGCCACCUUAGCGGGAGUGGUCUGUGCCCUUACAGGAUUGAUCCUUGUCUGUAGUGGUGAUCCUUCUCCUUGGGUCUGUGAAUGCCUGGGUGGCUGGUGCAUAGCUGGGCAGGGCCUCUUAGGUUAUCUAACUGACCCCUAACUUUUCACAAACGAGACAUUUCACUGGUUGACUCCCCUGUAUUUACAUCAUUGAGUUAGAAGAGAUGUACCAGGAGGCACUCAAGCCUCGGGAUUCACCUCCUUUGACAGGGCCAUACUGCCCUGGUUAGGAGGAAAGGUAAAUGAGAAUAUGAUCAGAAAACCUCUGCUUAGCUCUUGAAGAUUUUGCAAAACCCAUUGCUAAGACAAGAGCAGCCCAUUAAAGAUCCUUAGCCUCUCUGGCCAAAGUUGUCCUUGGCACCAGGACAGCCCUUGAUUCUCUUUCAGCUGAGCAAGGAGCUGUCUGUGCUGUGGCCACCACCUGCUGUUCCUGAAUGAACACUCCUGGGGAAGGUGAAACUCAAUUCACUGAGCAAGCCACUUGGCUUUUAUUAAAAGGGGACUCCUUUAAUGGUGUCUUUCUUUGACUAAUUUUAUUGUGAUUUGUUUGGGUCUUGGGAACCAGGGCUCCAAAGUGCAGCCCAGAUAUUGAGAAGUGUCCUGCUUAUGUAAUCAUAACAAACUCCCUGGUGCAUUUUAUUCUCUUAAAAGCUUUAAAUGCAGGUUCGAAGCUGCUAACCACCAAGCAAGUGGUCUCCCUAAGACUGGAACCUCAGAAAAGGAGUGGAGAGAUGACCAACUUAAAGACUGUGAACCUGAAGCCUUGAUCUGUGAACAUCACAGGAGUUAAGGAAAAGAGUCACGACCUCUGGAUGCCACCCAAAGGAACAAUGAAACCUGAGAGAAUUUCACAGCGGUGGCUGAGAGUGGUGCUAACGCCUUAAAUGUUGAUCACAUCUCAGUUAAGCUGAGGGUCUGAUCAAAAAGGGGAAAAUUGUGAAAAAGAUAAAAACAGACCUCAAGUGGAGUCACUUUUGCCAAGCCCAUGUCACCAAACCAGGGCUAAAUACCUACCCUAACUGCAGCUUCAACCUCCUCCAGGGAUGGAGUCUAACCGGUCAGGGUAGGACUGUCUAGUCAGCACCAAUGAGGCAAUCUGCCACAUGGGCCCCUCCAUCCCCCAAAGAAGAUGAGGGCAUCCACCUAAUAGGACCCUUGUGUCCCCAAAGGGAGGUAACCUUGCCUAAAAUGAUCUUUUUUUCUGUUAUGACUUCCUUGUCCUGCCUUUAAAGCCUUUCCUUUUCUGUACCCUCUGGAGCUCCUCUCUACUUGCCAGAUGGAUGCUGCCCAUUGAGGAAUUGCUCAA